rnacentral:rRNA from 1 species
AGAGUUUGAUCAUGGCUCAGAUUGAACGCUGGCGGCAGGCCUAACACAUGCAAGUCGAGCGGUAGCACAGAGAGCUUGCUCUCGGGUGACGAGCGGCGGACGGGUGAGUAAUGUCUGGGAAACUGCCUGAUGGAGGGGGAUAACUACUGGAAACGGUAGCUAAUACCGCAUAAUGUCGCAAGACCAAAGUGGGGGACCUUCGGGCCUCAUGCCAUCAGAUGUGCCCAGAUGGGAUUAGCUAGUAGGUGGGGUAACGGCUCACCUAGGCGACGAUCCCUAGCUGGUCUGAGAGGAUGACCAGCCACACUGGAACUGAGACACGGUCCAGACUCCUACGGGAGGCAGCAGUGGGGAAUAUUGCACAAUGGGCGCAAGCCUGAUGCAGCCAUGCCGCGUGUGUGAAGAAGGCCUUCGGGUUGUAAAGCACUUUCAGCGGGGAGGAAGGCGAUAAGGUUAAUAACCUCAUCGAUUGACGUUACCCGCAGAAGAAGCACCGGCUAACUCCGUGCCAGCAGCCGCGGUAAUACGGAGGGUGCAAGCGUUAAUCGGAAUUACUGGGCGUAAAGCGCACGCAGGCGGUCUGUCAAGUCGGAUGUGAAAUCCCCGGGCUCAACCUGGGAACUGCAUUCGAAACUGGCAGGCUAGAGUCUUGUAGAGGGGGGUAGAAUUCCAGGUGUAGCGGUGAAAUGCGUAGAGAUCUGGAGGAAUACCGGUGGCGAAGGCGGCCCCCUGGACAAAGACUGACGCUCAGGUGCGAAAGCGUGGGGAGCAAACAGGAUUAGAUACCCUGGUAGUCCACGCCGUAAACGAUGUCGAUUUGGAGGUUGUGCCCUUGAGGCGUGGCUUCCGGAGCUAACGCGUUAAAUCGACCGCCUGGGGAGUACGGCCGCAAGGUUAAAACUCAAAUGAAUUGACGGGGGCCCGCACAAGCGGUGGAGCAUGUGGUUUAAUUCGAUGCAACGCGAAGAACCUUACCUGGUCUUGACAUCCACAGAACUUACCAGAGAUGCAUUGGUGCCUUCGGGAACUGUGAGACAGGUGCUGCAUGGCUGUCGUCAGCUCGUGUUGUGAAAUGUUGGGUUAAGUCCCGCAACGAGCGCAACCCUUAUCCUUUGUUGCCAGCGGUCCGGCCGGGAACUCAAAGGAGACUGCCAGUGAUAAACUGGAGGAAGGUGGGGAUGACGUCAAGUCAUCAUGGCCCUUACGACCAGGGCUACACACGUGCUACAAUGGCAUAUACAAAGAGAAGCGACCUCGCGAGAGCAAGCGGACCUCAUAAAGUAUGUCGUAGUCCGGAUUGGAGUCUGCAACUCGACUCCAUGAAGUCGGAAUCGCUAGUAAUCGUAGAUCAGAAUGCUACGGUGAAUACGUUCCCGGGCCUUGUACACACCGCCCGUCACACCAUGGGAGUGGGUUGCAAAAGAAGUAGGUAGCUUAACCUUCGGGAGGGCGCUUACCACUUUGUGAUUCAUGACUGGGGUGAAGUCGUAACAAGGUAACCGUAGGGGAACCUGCGGUUGGAUCACCU